rfam:Gorilla gorilla gorilla genomic chromosome, chr6, whole genome shotgun sequence
UCAAAGGCCCUUUUCAGGGCCGCCCACAGUUUUCCGCAAAAGAGCU